GUGCUGAUGCUUAAUAGAGAAAUCGGUAGAAGCCGAUGCGGUCACGCCACUGUAAGAGGAGCGAAUCCAAUAGGUCACUGGGAAACUGGGAAGACGGAGGAGCGAGGAAUCUGAGCCAGGAGAACUGCCUUGCAGA
rnacentral:ncRNA from 1 species